rnacentral:rRNA from 1 species
GAGUUUGAUCCUGGCUCAGAACGAACGCUGGCGGCAGGCUUAACACAUGCAAGUCGAACGAGCUGGGACCUUCGGGUCCCGAUGCUAGUGGCGCACGGGUGAGUAACACGUGGGAACGUACCCUUUAGUACGGAAUAACCCAGGGAAACUUGGGCUAAUACCGUAUGACUCCUUCGGGAGAAAGAUUUAUCGCUAAAGGAACGGCCCGCGUCUGAUUAGGUAGUUGGUAGGGUAACGGCCUACCAAGCCAACGAUCAGUAGCUGGUCUGAGAGGAUGAUCAGCCACACUGGGACUGAGACACGGCCCAGACUCCUACGGGAGGCAGCAGUGGGGAAUAUUGGACAAUGGGGGCAACCCUGAUCCAGCCAUGCCGCGUGAGUG